AGGUAAGGUGUAGGCUUACCUAGGCGACGAUCUAUAACUGGUUUGAGAGGAUGAUCAGCCACACUGGGACUGAGACACGGCCCAGACUCAUACGGGAGGCAGCAGUGGGGAAUAUUGCACAAUGGGGGAAACCCUGAUGCAGCCAUGCCGCGUGUGUGAAGAAGGCCUUCGGGUUGUAAAGCACUUUCAGUCGUGAGGAAAGGGUUGUAGUUAAUACCUGCAAUCUGUGACGUUAGCGACAGAAGAAGCACCGGCUAACUCCGUGCCAGCAGCCGCGGUAAUACGGAGGGUGCGAGCGUUAAUCGGAAUUACUGGGCGUAAAGCGUGCGUAGGCGGUUAUUUAAGUCAGAUGUGAAAUCCCGGGGCUCAACCUCGGAACUGCAUUUGAAACUGGAUAACUAGAGUAUUGUAGAGGGUGGUGGAAUUUCCAGUGUAGCGGUGAAAUGCGUAGAGAUUGGAAGGAACAUCAGUGGCGAAGGCGGCCACCUGGACAAAUACUGACGCUGAGGCACGAAAGCGUGGGGAGCAAACAGGAUUAGAUACCCUGGUAGUCCACGCCGUAAACGAUGUCAACUAGCUGUUUGUGUUCUUGAAACGUGAGUAGCGUAGCUAACGCGCUAAGUUGACCGCCUGGGGAGUACGGCCGCAAGGUUAAAACUCAAAUGAAUUGACGGGGGCCCGCACAAGCGGUGGAGCAUGUGGUUUAAUUCGAUGCAACGCGAAGAACCUUACCAUCCCUUGACAUCCAGAGAAUUUUCUAGAGAUAGAAUUGUGCCUUCGGGAACUCUGAGACAGGUGCUGCAUGGCUGUCGUCAGCUCGUGUUGUGAAAUGUUGGGUUAAGUCCCGCAACGAGCGCAACCCUUAUCCUUAUUUGCCAGCACGUUAUGGUGGGAACUCUAAGGAGACUGCCGGUGAUAAACCGGAGGAAGGUGGGGACGACGUCAAGUCAUCAUGGCCCUUACGGGAUGGGCUACACACGUGCUACAAUGGUACAUACAGAGGGCAGCGAGACCGCGAGGUGGAGCGAAUCCCAGAAAGUGUAUCGUAGUCCGGAUUGGAGUCUGCAACUCGACUCCAUGAAGUCGGAAUCGCUAGUAAUCGCGAAUCAGAAUGUCGCGGUGAAUACGUUCCCGGGCCUUGUACACACCGCCCGUCACACCAUGGGAGUGGGUUGCAAAAGAAGUGGCUAGUUUA
rnacentral:rRNA from 1 species